GAGUUUGAUCAUGGCUCAGGAUGAACGCUAGCGGCAGGCCUAACACAUGCAAGUCGAGGGGUAAGCGUAGCUUGCUACGCCUAGACCGGCGCACGGGUGCGUAACGCGUGUACAAUCUACCUUUUACUGGGGAAUAGCCCGAAGAAAUUUGGAUUGAUGCCCCAUAGUAUAGAGCAGUGGCAUCACAGCACUAUUAAAGCUUCGGUGGUAAGAGAUGAGUACGCGUUCUAUUAGUUAGUUGGUGAGGUAACGGCUCACCAAGGCUAUGAUAGAUAGGGGUUCUGAGAGGGAUGUCCCCCACACUGGUACUGAGAUACGGACCAGACUCCUACGGGAGGCAGCAGUGAGGAAUAUUGGUCAAUGGUCGGAAGACUGAACCAGCCAUGCCGCGUGCAGGAUGACGGCCUUAUGGGUUGUAAACUGCUUUUGUAUGGGAAGAAUAAGGGGUACGUGUACUCUGAUGACGGUACUAUAUGAAUAAGCAUCGGCUAACUCCGUGCCAGCAGCCGCGGUAAUACGGAGGAUGCGAGCGUUAUCCGGAAUCAUUGGGUUUAAAGGGUCUGUAGGCGGGCUAUUAAGUCAGAGGUGAAAGCACUGAGCUCAACCGAGUAACUGCCUUUGAAACUGAUAGUCUUGAAUACUUACGAAGUAGCUGGAAUGUGUAGUGUAGCGGUGAAAUGCUUAGAUAUUACACAGAACACCGAUAGCGAAGGCAUGUUACUAGUAAGGUUAUUGACGCUGAGGGACGAAAGCGUGGGGAGCGAACAGGAUUAGAUACCCUGGUAGUCCACGCUGUAAACGAUGGAUACUAGGCUGUUUGCGAGAAAUUGUGAGUGGCUAAGCGAAAGUGAUAAGUAUCCCACCUGGGGGAGUACGCAGGCAAAGUGAAACUCAAAGGAAUUGACGGGGGCCCGCACGAAGCGGUGGAGCAUGUGGUUUGAAUUGGAUGAUACGCGAGGAACCUUACCAAGGUUUAAAUGGGGAAGCGACGUAAGUAGAAAUACCUAUUUCNNUCGACGCUUUUCAAGUGCUGCAUGUUUGUCGUCAGCUCCUGCC
rnacentral:rRNA from 1 species